GAUCAAGGAAUUCAUUGCUUAUAUCAUCGUCUUUAUUUUUUUAAAAAAACCUUGCAACUUCGAACUAUAUAAUUCACAUCUAUCGGGUCCUGGUACUUCUGAACUCCCUCACCGUAGCCGACCCCCGCGAUUGUGAAAGACCGCCGCCCUGCUCGUCGUGUUCCGUCGUGGCCACCUUGGUUCGUCGGAGCUUUUCGUCGUGCCCAUCGGUUUGAUCAGUUUAGUUCUUCGAUCAGGAUCAGCCGCUACUCAGACCGUUGCAGCCGCACUCCGUCUUCGAUCGAGCCCCGUCGUCACGUUACUCCACCGUGUUCAGGCCAGAGCCGUUGCUACUGCUCGACUCGUUUCGUUUGAUCACCUGGAGCUCUAGUUUCUUUUUCUUUUUGUCUCCGGUUAGCUCCGUUUGCGUUUAAGGCGUUUGUGACUGUAGAGGAAAACUUGAUUAUUGGUUUUGCUUGUGUGCUAAUAAGGUAAUUUGGGAAUCAUGGGGAAUAAGUGAAGAGUGUCGUGAAGAUAAAGAUUUUUUUUUUCGGUGAUGUAAUGAAAAUGUGUCACACCCCAACCGAUGGCGGAAUCAUCGGGGCGCGGCACUGAGCGAAACAGAUUGUCCAGAAGUUUCCACAACAACUAUUAUUACAA